CUACUACUCCCUCCGUCUAAAAAUACCUGUCAUCAAAAUGGAUAAAAGGAGAUGUAUAUAGCGUCUAGAUACAUUUCCUUUUAUCCAUUUUGAUGACAAGUAUUUUCGGACCGAGGGAGUACUUU
rfam:Triticum urartu cultivar G1812 contig160039, whole genome shotgun sequence.